rnacentral:rRNA from 9 species
UUGACCUCAAAUCAGGUAGGACUACCCGCUGAACU